rnacentral:rRNA from 1 species
GACGAACGCUGGCGGCGUGCCUAAUACAUGCAAGUAGAACGCUGAAGGAGGAGCUUGCUUCUCUGGAUGAGUUGCGAACGGGUGAGUAACGCGUAGGUAACCUGCCUGGUAGCGGGGGAUAACUAUUGGAAACGAUAGCUAAUACCGCAUAAGAGUAGAUGUUGCAUGACAUUUGCUUAAAAGGUGCAAUUGCAUCACUACCAGAUGGACCUGCGUUGUAUUAGCUAGUUGGUGGGGUAACGGCUCACCAAGGCGACGAUACAUAGCCGACCUGAGAGGGUGAUCGGCCACACUGGGACUGAGACACUGCCCAGACUCCUACGGGAGGCAGCAGUAGGGAAUCUUCGGCAAUGGACGGAAGUCUGACCGAGCAACGCCGCGUGAGUGAAGAAGGUUUUCGGAUCGUAAAGCUCUGUUGUAAGAGAAGAACGAGUGUGAGAGUGGAAAGUUCACACUGUGACGGUAUCUUACCAGAAAGGGACGGCUAACUACGUG